rnacentral:rRNA from 1 species
AUUGAACGCUGGCGGAAUGCUUUACACAUGCAAGUCGAACGGCAGCACGGGGGUAACCCUGGUGGCGAGUGGCGAACGGGUGAGUAAUACAUCGGAACGUGCCCAAUCGUGGGGGAUAACGUAGCGAAAGCUACGCUAAUACCGCAUACGAUCUACGGAUGAAAGCGGGGGAUCGCAAGACCUCGCGCGAAUGGAGCGGCCGAUGGCAGAUUAGGUAGUUGGUGGGGUAAAGGCUCACCAAGCCAACGAUCUGUAGCUGGUCUGAGAGGACGACCAGCCACACUGGGACUGAGACACGGCCCAGACUCCUACGGGAGGCAGCAGUGGGGAAUUUUGGACAAUGGGCGCAAGCCUGAUCCAGCCAUUCCGCGUGCAGGAUGAAGGCCUUCGGGUUGUAAACUGCUUUUGUACGGAACGAAACGGUCUGCCCUAAUACGGCGGGCUAAUGACGGUACCGUAAGAAUAAGCACCGGCUAACUACGUGCCAGCCGCCGCGGUAA